CUUGACGACCAUAGAGCGUUGGAACCACCUGAUCCCAUCCCGAACUCAGCAGUGAAACGAUGCAUCGCCGAUGGUAGUGUGGGGUUUCCCCAUGUGAGAGUAGGUCAUCGUCAAGAUUAAAUUCCGAAACCCCAAUUGCGAAAGCA
rnacentral:rRNA from 1 species